rnacentral:tRNA from 1 species
GGGGCCAUGGCUCAGAGGUUGAGCAUGUGCUUUGCAUGCAGAAAGUCACAGGUUCAAUACCCGGCGUCCCCA